rnacentral:lncRNA from 1 species
UCUAAUACACAGUUUGCACCAGGGAACAGGAUAGAGAGCUGGCCUGGAGCAAAAGUCACUUCUCCAUACCAGUUCUGCAGGAUUCUACAUUCCAGAUUCAGCUAAUCCUGCUGGAAUUCCUUGCUGAGCCAAGUUUUGGCUCCUUCAGACCAUCUGUGCGCUGAGAAGACCCUGGCUCCUUGCCUGUCUGCUACAUUGCCUCCCAACGUACUCAUGAACCAUGGAGCAAUUUGCAUUACGUACCAAGUUUCCAAACAGGAGAACAGUUGCUUACGGACUGAAUCAGCUGAGUCAACUCAAGUGGGUCUUACCAGAGAAGAUAGAUGGCCACUUAUUCCUAUUGCCACAUGAAGUGUUUCUAAAAUGUACCUGAAAUUUCUUUUCAAAGGACAGAGCAGAAUUUUUAUUUUCUUCAGAUGGGAUUAAGUUGCAAUUUUAAGUGUUGUGGAAGAAACUGAAAGUCCUGUCUUACGUAAAAAUGCCUUUCAAGGAAAAGUAAAACCUUUGUACAAAUUUCUGAAAUGUCAGAUCUGUCAGAUAGAAGAUACAAUGCAAGCUUUACUUUUGGUCUUACUAGAGAGUCUUUCCCCAUUACAUACCUUCUAAUUAUUUCUACUGUUUCUAUGUUUCUAGUUUCUUUUUAAGCCCAGUGCCAAAAGCACCUUUCCAGUCAUAUUCCAUUAACAGACAGAUUAAAAAUCUUUGUUUCCACUUGGCAAGGCCAUGAACUCCUGCACCUUCAAGAGAUUCCCCUGUACAACUGGUCCUACUCACUUCACUGGGGGUCAUUUUUCAUCUGUAGGAUAGGGAAGUGGGCACAUGCAGUGUAGUAUUUUACCUGAACAGUAGUCUUGCACCAUCCAAUAGGUAAACAGUGCUCAGAGUAAGUGAGAGAAUCUGCCUCUUUUAGUACAGCUACAAGAACCUGAAGCGAGAUAUUUAUAUUUCUUCUCAUUCUGUGUGUAUGGCUACAAAGUAUAGUGAUCAGGCCCUUGUCUUAUCUGAAGAUUAUAAAGAAUAAUAAUAUUGCAUAAUGAUGUCAAAACAUUGUUGUCCUUGACUCCUGCCACUAGAGCAUUUAAAAAUGAAAAAAAAACAAUUUUGCAGUUAAAAGAUAGGAUCUAGAAGGUCAUGCUAUACCUUCAAGGUUAACUUUGCCAGGAACUAAAUCAGGAAUCUCAGUGGAGAAUAAGGAAAGC